rnacentral:rRNA from 1 species
GACGAACGCUGGCGGCGUGCUUAACACAUGCAAGUCGAACGGAAAGGCCCUGCUUUUGUGGGGUGCUCGAGUGGCGAACGGGUGAGUAACACGUGAGUAACCUGCCCUUGACUUUGGGAUAACUUCAGGAAACUGGGGCUAAUACCGGAUAGGAGCUCCUGCUGCAUGGUGGGGGUUGGAAAGUUUCGGCGGUUGGGGAUGGACUCGCGGCUUAUCAGCUUGUUGGUGGGGUAGUGGCUUACCAAGGCUUUGACGGGUAGCCGGCCUGAGAGGGUGACCGGCCACAUUGGGACUGAGAUACGGCCCAGACUCCUACGGGAGGCAGCAGUGGGGACUAUUGCAGAAUGGGCGGAAGACUGAUGCAGCAACGCCGCGUGCGGGAUGACGGCCUUAGGGUUGUAACCCGCUUUCGCCUGUGACGAAGCGUGAGUGACGGUAAUGGGUAAAGAAGCACCGGCUAACUACGUG